rnacentral:lncRNA from 1 species
AGGCAUUGUUGCGGCAGGUAUUUAUUCACGAUAAAAAUCUUCCAGGUUUACAAAGCAGCAGUGCAGCACAGUCUCAACCUGUGAGAAAAAAAAAUGACCUAAUAACAUGAACACGUGCACAGACAAAACCCGAAAGCCUUUGACAUCAACAUGUUUACGGUGGGUGACAUGGGGGAUGUGAUAACAGGGGAGACUAUUUUUCUUUGUGCACAGUAUUUUUGAAAUUUUCUGUCAUUAGUGUUGCAUUUAUACAAUGCAGUCCCUAGGUGCAUUUCCUAUGAAAAUUGUUUAGGCUUCUCUUAGGAGCACUGACGUCAGGCACAUCAUAUCUGCUGACUCAUGACCCUCACUGAUGGCAUGUGGGAGGGUUUCCAGGGUGCGGGUGCUGUGCUUAGCAGGUGCCUUGGUAGCUGGGCUCAUCAUACAUGUGCAUGCAUAUGCACACACACACUCAUAUAUGCAUGCACACGCACAUUCACAGGCAUGCCCACACACACUCACACAGAUAUGCACACAUGCACUCACAUGCAUGUAUACAUUCACAGACAUGCACAUACUCAAGCACACAGAUAUGCACACAUGCACUCAUAUAUGCAUGCACACGCACAUUCACAGGCAUGCCCACACACACUCACAGAUAUGCACACAUGCACUCACAUGCAUGUACACAUUCACAGACAUGCACACACUCACGCACACACAGAUAUGCACACACUCUCAUAUAUGCAUGCACACGCACAUUCACAGGCAUGCGCGCACACACACACAGAUAUGCACACAUGCACUCACAUGCAUGUACACAUUCACAGACAUGCACACAGACACAGAUAUGCACACAUGCACUCAUAUGCAUGUAUACAUUCACAGACAUGCACAUACUCACGCACACACAGAUAUGCGCACACACACUCAUAUAUGCAUGCACACGCACAUUCACAGGCGUGCCCACACACACACACAGAUAUGCACACAUGCACUCAUAUGCGUGCACACACACAUUCACAGACAUGCACACACUCAGACAUGCACACAUGCACGAUGCACACAUUCACACACAUAUGCAUAUGUGGCUGUGAGUGAAUGACGGAGGGGGGACGGCCGUGCCACUCAUACUUUAAUGUGUAUUUGUCCGUGAUACGUGCACACACAUGCACAUACACACAUGCACACAUGCAUGCACACACACAUGCACGUGCAUGCACACAUUCACACACAUGCACGCAUGCACAUUCAUGCACUACUGGGAGCCGGGAGCUCCCGGGGUUCCACGGAGCCAACAGCCUCUGGGCUGGACCUCUGGCCCCUCAGCUCAGCUACGGAACCUGGGGCCUCUGAGUCCUCAUCUGCAGAUGGGAUGCUGAAAGUCUUGAGAGUAGGGAUGAAGAGCAAAUGGAUGCAGGCUUGGAAAGCUCAGGGGUGAGGUCUGAGGGGUCAGAACCUAGCCCCUGCUGUUAUUCCCGCUUCACAGAGGAGAUCAAAGAUAGAACAUGGCCCGUGCUCACACGGCAGGCAGCCACAGAGGUGGCUAGCUGUCCACUCACUGAAUUCCCAUUGCCUUUUAUGUUAAAAAAUAAAAAUAAAAUGAAUUGAGUUCAGGUAAGGAAGGGGCAGCCCCUCCCCUGCCCGGAGGCACAGCUGGUCUCGGCCCUUCGGGGUGCUCCUUUUUUAUCUUGCUAGUGAUUGGCCUUGUGGUGAGCAUGAGAGCCAGAAAGUUCUGGCCAAUGAGAUCCGCAAGGAGGUAGUCCAGGGCUCUUCAGAGAUGACUCCUCUUCUUCUGGCUCUGGAAGCUGCCAUGGGCUGUGGGCUGUCUUGGUCCACAAGGCAACAACUCUGGACGCCCCAUGCUAAGGAUGACAGGGCCAGGAAGACACAGCCAGCCUCUGAGCUGCCCCAGGCCACCUCCCCCAAGACAUUUCCACCGGAAGACACCUUCACCGCCAAAGCCCCCACAGGCUGGGGUUCCCAGCCAGCCAGCACCUCACCCAUCCCUGCAUCGCAGCUGGCCCCAGCCCUCUCCCAGUUCCACUUUGAUGCCACUCUUUCUCCAGCAGCUGCUACCAUCAGAGCCCUGAGGCCCAC